GGAAUUGUUUUUAUUAAUUUUUACAUCAAUUUUCGAAAAUGGAGCAUAUUACGAAUAUUAUUAAAAUAGUAUAAGUUGUGGCGGAGUUGAAUGAGUUGAAGAAUGCUAUUUCUUCAACGGAACCAUCACGGCGUCGGUGGUGGGUAAGACCUUCCAAUCAGAACCGGGAGACCGAAGGAUAUUAUGAAACUGCUUUUGAUUUGAUGAAGCAACGAGACCCUGAGUUUUUUGUCAAAUCUGUGAGAAUGACUCCAGAUAUUUUUGCCAUGCUUUUGGAAAUUGUGAAGCCACAUCUGGAAAAGUUUUCCAUAAGGAAACCGAUUAAUCCGGAAUGUCGGUUGUUUCUGACAUUGAUGUAUUUGGCACAUGGAUCAAAUCACUUCACCCUAUCCAGAUUGUUUAGGAUGGGUGUCUCGACCGUGCGACAAUCACCCAGGAAGUCACCAAAGUGAUAUGGGACGUUAUGUCUGAGACCUAUUUGCCCAUGUUAUCAGAAGCGACCUGGGCUCAGUGCAGUAGAGGAUUCUACGAUCGAUGGGAUUUCCCAAAUUGCUGUGGUGCGGUUGAUGGGAAACAUAUUGUAAUACAGUGCCCACCAAACGCUGGAUCGCUGUUUUAUAAUUAUAAAAAGCAACAUUCCAUUGUGCUGAUGGCAAUAUGCGAUGCUGAUUAUAAUUUUUUGGCGGUAGACAUAGGAGCAUAUGGUGGUAACUCAGAUGGUAGUGUAUUUGCCUCUAGCGAAUUCGGAAAACUAUUGCUUGCUGGUAAAUUGGGAUUACCUCCGCCAACUGUUUUGCCGAACAGCACCGUUGAGUGUCCCCACUUUAUUGUCGGGGACGCUGCUUUUCCUCUCAAAACGAAUUUGAUGAGGCCAUUCCCUGGAAAAAACCUGCCACAGCAGCAAGCAAAUUUUAAUAAGAGGCAAUCCAAAGCACGUUGUCCGAUCGAGAAUACUUUCGGUAUAGCAGUUUCAAGGUGGAGGAUUUUGAAAUCCCCAUUGUGUAUGAUUCCCGAGUCAGCA